CAGGAAUAUAAAUACAGAACAAGGUUUAAUUACAAGCAAAGAAACCACCAUUUGGCAUUCUGAAGCAGAAAAAUUAUUACUCUGGAUUCGAGUCAUAGUUUUGCUUUUGAAGCACAAUGAAAUUGGCAGACCUACACCUGUAUGGGAUCACUUUCCAGACAUGAAGGGUUUGCUG